rnacentral:lncRNA from 1 species
CUGCUACAACAAUUGGUAAUAAGUGGUACCAAAUCUCCAACAAGUCCUCUAGAAUAGGUAGAUAGAGAAAGAUAAGAAGCAAAGAGAAAGUGAGAGAACCAUGGUUCUCUCUCAAAAUAGAGGAAGGACAAGGAAAAGCUAGAUCUACUAGUGGUUGUGGCUAGAGGGUGGUGACCCGUAUUAGCCAGGGUAACAACUGGUGAUAGUGGUUGGCUGGAGGAAGAGAAGAGAGAAAAGAGAAAAUAAGGCAAAGGCAUCCAUUGCUCAAACUGCAAUUGCAAAAAGGCUGAUGAAGGUGAUGACAAUCUUGGCCAGGGGCCUACCUCCGGCGAGGACUUUGACCAUGUCAACUUUCAAGGUGGCCAAUGGUGGAUGAAUGCUAAAUGAAAACAAGCAAAAUAGGGGAGGUGCUACUUAAUAAAAUCAGGCAAUCAAUUGACUCAAAUCUAGCUGGCAAUAUCGGCCCUAGAACUUUGAAGAAGGUGGAAGAGAGAUUUGAGAUCAAUUACCACAAUUGCCGGCAAGACAUCGAGAAAAACAUGGCAAGAAAAUCAACAAAACACCUAAGAAAAUCAUGGCAAAAAUCUAUGGUGAUCGGAGGGAUUCUUGAUAGUGGAGUGAUAAAGGAGAAGAGAUCUGGCUUGGCCAGUCGAUCAAUGGACUAGGCCAGGCCUUACACAUUGGUGGGGAGAUGAUGGUGAUGUAGCUUGCAAUGCCAAGAAGAAGAGGAAAGAUAGAUGAAUGAGAUGGUGGAAGAAGAUGGUAGGAAGAUAAUGGUCAACUCUCAAGGAAGAAGAAGCCGAUCCUAUCAAAAGAAAAAGGAAGAAGAAGCCAGUCAGCAUGGGGAAAUGAUAGCGGUGGAAUUGAUAUAUGCUGAAAUUGAUAUAUGUUGAAAUUCAGAUUAAGAUCAAAUCACAUACCUAUUUCGUAAUUUUUUUCUUCAAAUCUAGAUCUGGAAGAGAAGAGAUCCUCUCUUAGCCGCACAAAUAUCCGAUCUCUACGAGUAUCCACUCGGGAUCAGCCUAGAACAAUCUUCUUUAAUCUAAAUUUUUAUUUUUUAAAAUUCAGCCUGCUGAAUCUGAACGAAGUCUGGAUCAUGAUCAAUGCUUGAUCUCUUUCCUUAAUCUUCUUUUUCUCUUCUUUAGAGUUUUUCUCCUUGCUAUGUGCUGCUACCAGAUACUAGAAAUCAGCAAGGAAGAGGCACCCAACAGCCCUUGGGCAUGGGACUCCUUGGGACGCAUGUCCCAAGAGAAAGGGGGUGUGGGACACCCAAGGGAAGAGAAAGGGAGAGGA